rnacentral:rRNA from 1 species
ACGGGUGAGUAACGCGUGGGAAUCUACCCAUCUCUACGGAACAACUCCGGGAAACUGGAGCUAAUACCGUAUACGUCCUUCGGGAGAAAGAUUUAUCGGAGAUGGAUGAGCCCGCGUUGGAUUAGCUAGUUGGUGGGGUAAUGGCCUACCAAGGCGACGAUCCAUAGCUGGUCUGAGUGGAUGAUCAGCCACAUUGGGACUGAGACACGGCCCAAACUCCUACGGGAGGCAGCAGUGGGGAAUAUUGGACAAUGGGCGAAAGCCUGAUCCAGCCAUGCCGCGUGAGUGAUGAAGGCCCUAGGGUUGUAAAGCUCUUUCAACGGUGAAGAUAAUGACGGUAACCGUAGAAGAAGCCCCGGCUAACUUCGUGCCAGCAGCCGCGGUAAUACGAAGGGGGCUAGCGUUGUUCGGAAUUACUGGGCGUAAAGCGCACGUAGGCGGAUUGUUAAGUUAGGGGUGAAAUCCCAGGGCUCAACCCUGGAACUGCCUUUAAUACUGGCAAUCUCGAGUCCGAGAGAGGUGAGUGGAAUUCCGAGUGUAGAGGUGAAAUUCGUAGA